rnacentral:rRNA from 1 species
CUCCAGACUCCUACGGGAGGCAGCAGUGGGGAAUUUUGGACAAUGGGCGCAAGCCUGAUCCAGCUAUUCCGCGUGUGGGAUGACGGCCCUCGGGUUGUAAAGUACUUUCAGCGGGGAGGAAGGCGAUAAGGUUAAUAACCUUGUCGAUUGACGUUACCCGCAGAAGAAGCACCGGCUAACUCCGUGCCAGCAGCCGCGGUAAUACGGAGGGUGCAAGCGUUAAUCGGAAUUACUGGGCGUAAAGCGCACGCAGGCGGUCUGUCAAGUCGGAUGUGAAAUCCCCGGGCUCAACCUGGGAACUGCAUUCGAAACUGGCAGGCUGGAGUCUUGUAGAGGGGGGUAGAAUUCCAGGUGUAGCGGUGAAAUGCGUAGAGAUCUGGAGGAAUACCGGUGGCGAAGGCGGCCCCCUGGACAAAGACUGACGCUCAGGUGCGAAAGCGUGGGGAGCAAACAGGAUUAGAUACCCUCGUAAUC